rnacentral:rRNA from 1 species
CCUACGGGUGGCAGCAGUGAGGAAUAUUGGUCAAUGGGCGCGAGCCUGAACCAGCCAAGUAGCGUGAAGGAUGACUGCCCUACGGGUUGUACACUUCUUUUAUAAAGGAAUAAAGUGAGGCACGUGUGCCUUUUUGUAUGUACUUUAUGAAUAAGGAUCGGCUAACUCCGUGCCAGCAGCCGCGGUAAUACGGAGGAUCCGAGCGUUAUCCGGAUUUAUUGGGUUUAAAGGGAGCGUAGAUGGGUUGUUAAGUCAGUUGUGAAAGUUUGCGGCUCAACCGUAAAAUUGCAAUUGAUACUGGCAGCCUUGAGUACAGUUGAGGUAGGCGGAAUUCGUGGUGUAGCGGUGAAAUGCUUAGAUAUCACGAAGAACUCCGAUUGCGAAGGCAUCUCACGAAUCCGCGAUUGACGCUGAUGCACGAAAGCGUGGGUAUCAAACAGGAUUAGAUACCCCUGUAGUC